rnacentral:rRNA from 1 species
UACGUAGGGCGCAAGCGUUGUCCGGAAUUAUUGGGCGUAAAGAGCUUGUAGGUGGUUUGUCGCGUCUGCUGUGAAAAUCCGAGGCUCAACCUCGGACUUGCAGUGGGUACGGGCAGACUAGAGUGUGGUAGGGGAGACUGGAAGUUCCUGGUGUAGGCGGUGGAAUGACGCAGAGUAUCAGGAGGAACGACCGAUGGCGAAG